rfam:Zea mays cultivar B73 chromosome 1, whole genome shotgun sequence.
AUUCCAUGGUUGGGACAAUCAGUGAUAUAUUCUUGGAGUCGCUCCCAUGCUUCCACCACUGUCUCAUUUUGCGAGCUGCUGAAAGCUCAAUAUUCGGUUUCUCAGUGC